rnacentral:rRNA from 1 species
UGGCGGCGUGCUUACACAUGCAAGUCGAACGGAAAGGCCCCUUCGGGGGUACUCGAGUGGCGAACGGGUGAGUAACACGUGGGUGACCUGCCCUGCACUUCGGGAUAAGCCUGGGAAACUGGGUCUAAUACCGGAUAGGACCGCAUCGUGAGGAUGUGGUGGAAAGUUUUUUCGGUGCAGGAUGGGCCCGCGGCCUAUCAGCUUGUUGGUGGGGUAAUGGCCUACCAAGGCGGCGACGGGUAGCCGGCCUGAGAGGGUGGACGGCCACAUUGGGACUGAGACACGGCCCAGACUCCUACGGGAGGCAGCAGUGGGGAAUAUUGCACAAUGGGCGCAAGCCUGAUGCAGCGACGCCGCGUGGGGGAUGAAGGCCUUCGGGUUGUAAACUCCUUUCAUCAUCGACGAAGGGCUCACUUGUUGUGGGUUUGACGGUAGGUGGAGAAGAAGCACCGGCUAACUACGUGCCAGCAGCCGCGGUAAUACGUAGGGUGCGAGCGUUGUCCGGAAUUACUGGGCGUAAAGAGCUCGUAGGUGGUUUGUCGCGUCGUCUGUGAAAUUCCGGGGCUUAACUCCGGGCGUGCAGGCGAUACGGGCAUAACUUGAGUGCUGUAGGGGAGACUGGAAUUCCUGGUGUACCGGUGAAAUGC